rnacentral:lncRNA from 1 species
AAAAAUAAAAAAAAAAAAAAAAAAAAAAAAAAAAAAAAAAAAAAAAAAACUUCUAUGGGGCUGUCUGAUCUUGAUGGGGAAGUGGCUCUCGACGAUAUUGAGUGCUCGCUUGGGAGUCGUAUGGUGCUUACUCAUCGGGCAAAGGUUGGAGUAGUGAUUGGUAUUUCAGCGGCCUCUGUUCAGAUCUUGAUCUGCAGUGGGAAACGCAAGCGUGCCAUAAUUGAUGGUGGGAGAGCAUAUGAUCGAUGGUGACAUCAAUUUUUCUGGUGACGAUUUGGUACCAAUGGCUUUGCUGACAAUGGUCUCUAAGGUCUCUCUGAUAAUUCGCAGUUGGAACGUUUGUGGGCUUGGCAUCCGACGAAUGUUCAGUAACAUGAAGUUUUCUUCUUCAAGGCAAUAGGUUGGUAGCAAGUUGGGUGUCGAGAUAGUUCUUAUUAAUUUUGUGUUUUGUUUCGAUGGUGGCGCGUGUUGGUAUUCCUUUGUUUCUGACCUAUUGCAUAUUGUACAACUCUAGCAUUGUGCAAAGGACUAUGUUUACACAAGAGGUUUUCUUUGAUAGAACCUAAGAGACGGUGUGCUCUUUUGAUGGGUUUCGUUUUGCUUAAGUUUGUUGAUUUGUGCUUUGUGCUUGUGGAUUGUUCGUCUUGGUGGUGUUUUGGUUCUGCCAUUGUAUCCUGAACAAAUCUGGCGUUGUACAAAUGACUAUGUUUACAUAGGAGGUCUUCUUUGACAGAAUUUGAGAGGCAUUGGUGUGCCCUAGGGAUGGAAGAAAUCCCCAUCGGGUAUGGUUCCUAUCGAGUUCCCAGCUCUAACGGGAGGAGAUUUCGGGGAAAAAUAGGGGCGAGUAUGGGGAUCCUUGAUUUUUAAAGAGAUAUUUAGUCAUAUAUUCAUUCUUAGCACUAAUAAUAUAGAUAAAUUCUACACCAUUUAAAUUACUUCGAUGCCCUAUUGAGUGUUUUGAGUUUUUUAUUUAUGAGGUUUUGGGGUUGGGUUUUUUAAGAAAUCAAUGACAGUUUUGUAAUUUAAAAGAAGUUAAAAGCCUUUUGUUAUAUUGUAAAUGAGCUUUUGGUGUGUUUCUAAAGUUCAUUUUAUAUAGGAUUUUUAUUAUUAUUUAUAAUUUGAGCUCCUGUAUUGGGUAUAAUAGUAAAUCUUCAUUUUAAAAAAUACCCAAUCGGAGACGGGGUGGAGAUGGUAUUGUUAUCCCCAUCCCCGAACUCGGCUCAAUAAGUGAUGUAUUUGGUUUUAAUUAAUAAAUAUGUUAUAUAAUAUAAUAUAACAAUUAAAAAAUUAGCCUAACCUUUGUAAGAUGAUGAAACUUUGGAAUGUCUCUUCUUCUGACCUAAAAAAAUUCCACCAAAUACUUCCUUGGUAUAUGGUACAACACAAUCCCAAAUACACCAAUAGUAUGGGUUGCUAACUAAGAAUCCCCACUUGAUUAUCUGGGUGUUUUCAUGCUCGGCUAUGAUGGACAUUUUGGUGUGUUAGAUGGUAGUUAUCUGGUCAUCAAAUGCAUUAUGCAUGAGUAUCUGCUUCUGCAAUGAAUGCCAUAACAAUUAAAAGUUAUCAUAAGCUUUGUAGAAUGGUGAAACUCUGUCAAAUUAAAUUGAGAUGAUUUUGAAUAGUUAAGUGAAAUUUUAUAAUUCAAUUGAAUAAUAGUUUAAGGUGAAAUUUAAGUGUUAUAACAUGAAUACUUUUUUUUAAAAUUGUUUUAAAAAACUAGGGAUUCGGGCUGUGUUUGGGAUACCAACCCCCGACGGGGACGGGGACGGGGAUUCUUCGAAAAUUCAAACCGGGGAUAGGGGCAACAGGUAUGGGGAGCGGAGAUGGACAUGGUAUUGCUAUACCCGACCUUUAAUCGGCCGUUCCAUCCCUAGUGUGGUCCUUUGAUGGGUUCAUUUUGCUUCAGUUUGUUUCUUUGGUUUUUGUUUUUGCGGAUUGUUCGUUUUUGAUGUUCUUUUGGUUAUGUCCAUUGCAUGCUGACCAAUUCUCGCGCUACAAAUGACUAUGUUUGCAUAGGAGACCUUCUUUGACAUAACUAGAGAGGCGUUGGUAUGCUUUUUUGAUGGGUUUUCUUAAUUUGUGUUUGUUGGUGGGGUAGUUUUGUUUUAAGAGGUGACUAAACUAUUUUUUUGUUUUUGUCUAGACUCUCUUGUUAGUCUUCUAGUCUACUGCAUGUGUAGUACUCUUUCCUCACUUGGGAGUUUUCCCAUGUGACUUUCAUGAGAAGGUUUUAAUAAAGCCACUGUUAACACAUCGGCCCUUGUGUAAUGUUCUUGGGUUGUUAAUGGAAUUUCUCUUCCUCUCACAAAAAAAGAAAACAAAAAGGAGAAACCAAACUUACUCGCUAACAUAUACACAUCUUCCCCACUGAUUAAUUGGUGGUGGGUUAAUUUCAGCUCUGAAAUCUGCCCAAAAGACAUUUUCUGUUGUAAAAUAACUAUAGUGGAGCCCACCUCAAUAGGAGAUGCUUGCCUAUAAGUAAGGCAUCUCCCCUACAAUGAAGUUACACAGAAAUCAGAUUCAAGGAAGAGAGAAAUUUCUCUCUCUCUCUCUCAAUUCUCUCCUCAAAUUUCUCUUUAGUUUAUAACACGUUAUCAGCACGAUUAUCUCUAAAAUACCAGCUGAAUUAUCUGAUUUUUCUUUUUGCUUCUGGUUUCAGAUCUGGGAAUCUCAAUGAACAACAUCAGCUUGCAAGGAACAGUCCCGAGGUGCUCGAUCUGAGUACUGGACAGAUCUCUCUUCUGUCGACACCAAUGGCUUCUCUCACACAAGCUUCUACUGCUUUUUCAACCUCAAAAUUCGGCCUGCUGCAAAAACCACUGUAUGGUUUCCGCAUCAGAUUUGUGGCCCAAUUCUCUGGUCAAUUAAUAAAUAAAUAAAUAAAUUCUUGAUGCACACAGAGCAGACAUCCGUAUCCUCCUUCCCCUGCCUUCAACCUUUUUUUUUGUGUCUGUCUUUGUUUGAGCUUCUCUUGGGCGCCAACUGGAAAUCUUUGAUUUCAGCACGCGACCAAGUCUCAAUUCUCAGACCCUUCCCUACCCCCCAUCAUUCUUCCAUGGCCCAGGCCUCAUUCGACGCAUUGUUCUUCAUUCUUCGUCUUCUACAUCAACACAAUCCCAAACUUUCAAUUUCGGCUCCGAAGAUCCCCAGCCUUGGACGUCCUCUUAGAUCGGAUCGCCGGACUUGGACUGAAUUUGACAAAACGGCAGUCGUUUCAUGACUGGCUUCACGAACUAUCUCCACCACGCCUUCGCCGCUGGAGCUCCCUGCCGCCAGCAUAGUCGAUGAGCUGUCAGGCACAGGCUCCGCCGGAGCCCGAGCAGGAGCAAGUUGCUGGCAGAAAAGGCAGAGGGACCAUAGAGAAAGGACAGCAGCGCCACCACAUGGCUUCGAUGACGUCCCACAAAAAUCCAGUUCUUAGAUCUCGCAGCAUCGGUCGGCUUGGUGGGCCGCGUCGAUCUGGUUCAGCAGCCGCUUCUCCUCCACCUGUCAAGUUUCCUGUUCGGCCAAACCAGAGACUCUGAACAAGGUGUGUGACAUAGUGAAGAAGCAGUUGGCUUUACCCGAAGACACAGCUGUGACCCCAGGCUUCAAAGUUUGCUGAACUUGGCGCUGAUUCUCUAGACACAAGAUGAACAAGCCGAUUUGAAGAAGCUUAUGAGCUCGUACCUUGGUCUGAGUUUUGGGCAGAUGGGAAGACCGACGUCACCAAGCGAUGAUGAUGUUCCAAACUCUCCAUCUUGGGGAAGAUCUCUCUCCACUGUAAACAGAUCGAAGGGUUAAGAGUUCAUGACCCAUCAAAGAAUCGAAACUGGGGUUUUUAUAAAUGUUUGUUGGCUGAGAAAGUAGGAGAAUAUAUUUUCUCUCAGAUCUCUGUAAGAAGAGUUGAACUCGUGGGAUGCUUGAGAAAAUUGCAGAGGUGGUGCCUGACAUCUGUUUUUGAUGAAUAUCAGCGGUUUGCAGCUGCGAAAGCUAGAGUUGCAGAUACAAAUGAUGACAGUGGCGACAGUAGAAAAUAUGCUGUCGGGCACGCAUGAUUACAGCCCCACCCACCGAAACAUUAAAAAUAAUAAUCAUAAUAAUAAUAAUAAAUAAAUAAAUAAUAAAAAAGAAAAAAAAAGGGGAUCACUCAGCAAGGGCAUAAGCGAUAAGUUUUCUGCUCCCUUAUCUUCUCUAUUUUUUCCUAUUAUAUUUAUCUGCUUUUCUUUUACUAACCAUUAACAAAAAUGGACCCUCGGUAAUACUAAACAUAUUAUCAGUGGGAAACCGUUACAAUUAGUGCCCAUACAAGCACGUUUAAUUUACUGAAAAUUUACUUUACCGCACAUUUAUUUUAUUUACUGUAUGGUGUAGGAUUAUUACCCAUACGACAGUACUUAUUUAAAAGGGUGGUGCGGGUUUAUCGCCCACGCCUUUAAUUUUAUUGUAUGGAGCAGAAUUAGUGCCCAUACACGCACGUUUAAUUUAUGAAUUUAAAUUACCGCACAGUUACAUUUAUUUAAAAGGGUGGUGCGGGUUUAUCGUCCACGCCUUUACUUAUUUAAAAGGGUGGUGCGGGUUUAUCGCCCACGCCUUUAAUUUUAUUGUAUGGAGCAGAAUUAGUGCCCAUACACGCGCUGUAUGAUGAGUUUUUACAGUAAGCAGAUCAGGACCAGAAGUUCCUUGAUCCUCAUCAUACAAUUACAUCAGGACUGGCAGAUCCUUGAUGAUGAUGUUAAUAUGAGAGCUGGCAGUCUUUCCGGUACUGUAUUUGUAAACAUGUGAUCGGACUUGAGGGUCCUUGAUCCCUGACAUGUAAAUAAGGACCUGGAGUUCCUUAAUGAUGUAACAGUACCGUAUUGGUUCAUAAUGCCGUACACAUGGAUGAUAACUGUACUGGCAAAUGUACUGGAACCCGCAGUUCCUUAAACUCAUGGAUGAGCAAUUAAAUGAGAUGCCAGAAGUUCCUCAAAAUAUGAACAAUUAUGUAAGGGCUUGAAGUCCAGAAAUAUGUACAAGAAAAUUGUAAAAAUGUCCAUACCAUGAGAAUAUGUGAUUUUGGCCCGAAGUUCAAAAUCUAAGGGGAUUAAAUGUCCAUACCAUGAGAAUAUGUGAUUUCGGCCUGAAGUUCAAAAUCUAAGGGGAUUGAAUGUCCAUACCCUGAGAAUAUGUGAUUUUGGCCUGAAGUUCAAAAUCUAACAGUGUUGAGAACCUGAAGUUCCAACAAUUAAAUGGACAACCCUUGAGGUAUUAUUGCAAAUUGUGGUACGCCACAUAUCUCUUUGGCAUAAGAGAAUGAUGAAUUGAGGCUCCCCACAUAUUUUGUUAUAUCUGGGCCGGAAGCUCAUGAACCCAAAUAUAUGAGAUAUUAGCGUGGCUUUUACUCAAUUCAUAUUUCAUGUCCAUUUUGAAAAGGGCAAAUAAAUUCUGAGUUUGUGUUUAGCCCAUGCCAAAAGUUCCGGGCUCCCAAAUGUUGAAAUAUGAAAUUUGGGAGAGUCGAUGUGGUUAUUUGAACCUAUAAGGCACAAGGUUCCAAACCGUCAUUUUGAAAAGACGUAAAAACCACAGGUGCAAAUUUUAAGAAUGUGCGCAAUUAUUAUAACAGGAAAGGAGCAAGUUGAAACGCAGUUGCUCCAAUCAAGUUUUGCAAAAACAAUAUCUAUAGGAGGAAAUAUGGCUACAAUUUUUUCAGAAUCCCAAUAUCUUUUCGGAUCCCCAUAUUUUCUUUCCCAGAUUCCAAAACUUCACGUGGCCUCCAUUUAAUGUUUGUCGGCACUUUCGGCGUUUUCAAAGUAUUAUUUUCAUCAAAAGCCGAUCUUGCUUUGCGGAUUUCACGGAGUUACUUUUUCAAAAGUAUCCCGAGAAUCUCGCAAUUUUCUAUGAUUAAUUUGAAAUUCACCGGUUCUACCUAUUCAUUGUAUUUGUGUAUAAAUGUGUUACUAACGAAAUUUUCUUUGUAGAAGACAUCCAGUUUUCUCCAUACCUAGUUAUGCGAUAUCUACUUGUUUUCUUAUCAGUAAGCACGCAGUGAUGCGAUAUCUACUUGUUUUUCUUGUCAGUGAGCACUUAAUAUGCCUAAGAAGCAAGACUAUCUCUGAUCAUCCACUCAGGAAGCGAGACUAUCCCUGAUCACGUUUCCGCCACAUCCGGGAACUGUGAAGGCGACCUUAUGCUCUAAUCUCCUAAGGUCCUUCUAGACUAGGAGAAAUGAGAGUUUGUUGUUUGCUCCCACCAGCUUCCUUCCCUGAUUGCUUACCUUUUAUUUUUGCAUUUUUUUCUCUUUCUGUAACUCUCUGAGGAUUAUUUAUUUUUGACAGAGAAAAGAGUUGUGAUUUUACUCUUGCAGGAUAUAACUAGAUCAUCAAGCGUUACAUUUACUGGGCGGAUACAAGCUUGAAUGAUACUUGAGAAAAGUUUCUCACACCUAAGGAUGUAAGCAAUAUUUGUGCUAUUUUAUACCUAUAUACUUGUCUGAUAUUUUAUCUUGAAAGGUAACCAAAUGGGAAGAUAAGUCCGUUCCAAAAGAAUGGCUUGUAUGUAUCCAUGAAUUAUUAAAUGCAAAUUUUACAGAUUGCAAGUUGGAUACAUUGAUAAUACACUGCCACAGAUUAAAGUCCCAUAAGAACAGAAUAUGGGUAUAGCAGUGAUCAAUAUGAUGCGCGCCUGUUGCGUAGCAAAUGAUAUGGAUUGAAGUCCCGAAUGGACAAUCCUUUAACAUGUCAAUAUUAAUAUUAUACACGCCUGUUGCGUAGCAAAUAAUAUGGAUUGAAGUCCCGAAAGGACAAUCCUUUAAACAUGUCAAUAUUGAUAUUAUGCACGCCUAAUGCGCAGCAAAUUAUAUGGGUUAAAGUCCCAUAAUAUGGGUUAAAGUCCCAGAAAUUAAUUGACAUGUAUGUAUUAAUCUGUGGCAUACCUGCAGCAUGACAGAUAUAUGGGUGCACGCCUGUUGCGUAGCAAAUAAUAUGGAUUGAAGUCCCGAAAGGACAAUCCGUUGACAUGUCAAUAUUGAUAUUAUGCACGCCUAAUGCGUAGCAAAUUAUAUGGGUUAAAGUCCCAUAAUAUGGGUUAAAGUCCCAGAAAUUAAUUGACAUGUAUGUAUUAAUCUGUGGCAUGUCUGCAGCAUGACAGAUAUAUGGGUUCUAAAUGUUCCAACUCCCUAAAUGGAGAUUUUCCACGCCCUACGUAAAAUAACGCUUCAUUGGAGGUUAUAAUCCACAUUCUCACAUAAUAAAAGCCCCAUGAAGUGGCUUGGGUACCCAAAAGCAAAGCAAUGCUUAUAAUUGAUGCAUGCGCAUGCACAUGAGAAUGGUGGGAUCAUGAAUUGAUGAAUGACAAUUUUUGGUUUUGGAGUAGCUACUCAAAUCAUCAAUGGGCUGUGUUGAUUGGAACCACGUUCAAUUAUUAAAUGUCGACAAUAUCAUUGGCCAAAAUGGAACGAGGUAAUUCCAUUAUAGAUGAGAAUGAACGUGAAAGAACAAACCCACAAUACGAACCCCAAAAUUUGUUAAUAUUGAAAGUUAUACUUGGGUGUUCGGAAUAAAAGGGAAUAUACCUACUUUGUAUGACACAUUGUUUCUAGCAGAAACAAGGAAUGUUGGGUUUUCUCCAUAUUUACAGAUUCAAUUGUGCCCCCCCUUAUUACACAAUUACGGAGACCAACAUAUUAUCUUUAAGGGUUAUUAAAUGCACAGAGCAUAUUGCCAGAAGCGAUUCCCUAAAGAUGUAUAAAUAGCUGGGUUAAAGCUAUAUAAUGUGCCAUAAAGCUUAAUCCCUUUUAGACAAAAUCCGUUGAGAGGAUUGAUAUUGCAUAAAGCAAGUCCCUAAAGGACAUGUGCUUGAAGCACAAAAUUUGUACUCAAUAUUAAUAUGCAUAAAUUACCUCAGUGAGUACAUUGAUGUGAUUGCAACACAUUAAAGAUUCUGCAGAAUUCAUGAAAUAUUUGUCUCGAUCGAGCAUUAUACCAACGAGAUUCUUGCUUAUACUAAGAAAGUAUUGAAGCAUUUUUAUGAGGAUUAUCCGUUGGACACUUUAAUGAUUUUCCAAAAGUAUACUAGACCAGAUAGAGCUCAGCUCACACUGUACUCUUUUUCCUUUAUCCAGGUUUUUAUCCCAUUGGGUUUUUCCUGGUAAGGUUUUAACGAGGCAGUGCAGCUCAAGGGUUUAGGGUAUACUAUGAAAAUUUUUAUGGUCGCUUACUGGACAAAAGCUAGUCCUAAAUUUUUCAGGGGGAGAUAUUCAUCAAGGGGAGCAUGGUUUUGAUAAAGACCUUCAUACACUGUACUCUUUUUCCUUCAUCCAGGUUUUUAUCCCACUGGGUUUUUCCUGGUAAGGUUUUAACGAGGCAGUGUCACUCAAGAUUGACUCACAGAAGCAGUGCCAACUACGAUAUUCAGAAAGCUGAUCAACAGUAUGACUUAAAGAUAUUUUGCCAAGCAUCAGGGGGAGCGCACCAUCAAUAAAGAUCUUCAAACACCGUACUCUUUUUCCUUCGUCUGGAUUUUUAUCCCAUUGGGUUUUUCCUGGCAAGGUUUUAACGAGACAGUGUCGCACGCGCAUCAAUAUAUAUAGAAUUUUAUGUUACACAUUAUUAUGUACUCUUUUUCCCUUUGACCAGUUUUUGUCCCCCUGGGUUUUUACUGGCAAGGUUUUUAACGAGACAUAUUCUGUAUCAUUUGUGGUCUCCAAGGGGGAGUGUUGUAAAAUAACUAUAGUGGAGCCCACCUCAAUAGGAGAUGCUUGCCUAUAAGUAAGGCAUCUCCCCUACAAUGAAGUUACACAGAAAUCAGAUUCAAGGAAGAGAGAAAUUUCUCUCUCUCUCUCUCAAUUCUCUCCUCAAAUUUCUCUUUAGUUUAUA